rnacentral:rRNA from 1 species
CACUGCCGAGAAAAGCCUCUAGAUAGAAAAUAGGUGCCCGUACCGCAAACCGACACAGGUAGUCAAGAUGAGAAUUCUAAGGUGAGCGAGCGAACUCUCGUUAAGGAACUCGGCAAAAUGACCCCGUAACUUCGGGAGAAGGGGUGCUCUUUAGGGUUAACGCCCAGAAGAGCCGCAGUGAAUAGGCCCAAGCGACUGUUUAUCAAAAACACAGGUCUCUGCUAAACCGUAAGGUGAUGUAUAGGGGCUGACGCCUGCCCGGUGCUGGAAGGUUAAGAGGAGUGGUUAGCUUCUGCGAAGCUACGAAUCGAAGCCCCAGUAAACGGCGGCCGUAACUAUAACGGUCCUAAGGUAGCGAAAUUCCUUGUCGGGUAAGUUCCGACCCGCACGAAAGGCGUAACGAUUUGGGCACUGUCUCAACGAGAGACUCGGUGAAAUCAUAGUACCUGUGAAGAUGCAGGUUACCCGCGACAGGACGGAAAGACCCCGUGGAGCUUUACUGUAGCCUGAUAUUGAAAUUCGGCACAGCUUGUACAGGAUAGGUAGGAGCCUUUGAAACGUGAGCGCUAGCUUACGUGGAGGCGCUGGUGGGAUACUACCCUAGCUGUGUUGGCUUUCUAACCCGCACCACUUAUCGUGGUGGGAGACAGUGUCAGGCGGGCAGUUUGACU